UUGGGAUGCUGAGAAACGGCAGAAACUCACUGCCAAAGUGGACCGCUCCUCUCCCUGAUUGGCAGGAAAAGUGCAAACAAAGAGGUGCAUCUCCCGGAAACAAUGAGUUUGGAGAUUUCCCCAGGGCGUGAGAGCGUGGACUGAAGGCUGGGUGUUCAAAGGGUGUGUGUGAAGAGACCGAGAUCCGCAUCUUCUGGGCAAAAGUUUUCUGGGAGGUGGAAGGAGAGUGGGUCGGGACUGAGUUGCUAGUGCUUUGGGGACAGAGCAGCCGGAGCUGCGCACCAAGGCUCAGAGUCGGGCGGGAGAUGCGGGGAGAGGGAGGGGGCGGGGAGGGAGGGGAGGGAGAGAGGAGGAAGGGGUGAGAGGGAGAAACCUGCCGCGGCUCUCCGCCUCUUUGUCUGCUCUGGGACUUGGAACAAAAGGGGGAACUCUGAUGAACUCCUUCUCCCGCUCCCUGGACGCCCGGGUAUCUCUUUCUCGCAACUUUGUCAAGGCGACUUUCUCCGCUGUCAGGCUGCGCAAAAGUGUCCCAGCGCUUCGCAGGCUGCAACAAUGGAAACAAUGUUCCUUCAAAGUGGGACGAAGUAGAGGGAGAAGGUGUCGUUGCCAGCAGCUCCAAGUGUCAUAUCAGGCACUUAGCAGAAGUACUUCCUACUGAAAUGCCUUGGGAUUACUCUUAUUGGAAAUAUACCUACCAGCCAGUAGCAUGGAGAUGCCAGGACCCCAGCAAGUUAGCACUGGAUGAAAUACCAUCAACUUCUUCAUUUAGAGUUUCUUCAGAUAAAGUGUUGCGGGUUCUGACAAGGCUCUCAUUAUGUGGAUUAUUGGAGUGUGAUGCCCAGGAAUUCUCUACUUAUAGAAGUAUUCCCACGUGCCUGCAGAAGCCUUCACACCCAGCACGUUCAGAUAUGAAUGAAUGAUGGCCAUCCAGUGACCAGCUGAGACUGACGCCUUACAAGAUGCAUGUGUAUGAUUAAGAGAGAUACAUGCAUGACUCCUGGAUUUACCUCCUUCCUGUCCCACAGAGUUACUGAAGGGAGUGAGUUAUGGAGUAACUUAUAACACGGCAGGCUUUUCCUCAAGAUAGCCCUUGUCAAAACAGGAAGAUGAAACUCAUGUUUCAACGAAGAGACCUCAGUUUGGGGUCCUGUCUGGAUGUACCUCUUAAUUACAAGCAGAAACGCCUUCAUACUUUUCCAUUUCUAACCAUCACAUCCCCAAAGGAGGCAUCUGCUGAGAGGUUAGAAAUAUCAAGUUCACCUUUCACUUCGGCAUGCCCCAACAUUUGACAGCCACUUCUUGGAUGAGAGUUGAGCGUGCGAAGAGGAACCGGGAAGAGAGAGCUCCAAGCUCUCACUUCUCUCCCAUGUGCCCCAGGGUGACUGCAACAGCUCCAUAAAUUACUGCUGCCCUUUUGAACUGACCUCCAGGUUCAGGAGAUGUAAAUAUUGAUGGCCUUGACACAGCCACCCCAACCCUGGUAUGCACUCUGCUCGGGAGAUGAAAUCUCUUCAGCUAACUGAAAGCAGGUGGGCUAGCGGAUCAACUGCUCUGGAUUCUCCACCAUCCAUAAUUCUGAGCCAACUACCCCAGUCCUGUCUCCCUUGGCACAAGGCAAGGGCUCUCCAGGUGGAACCGUCUGCGGGAGUCCUCCCAGUAUUUGCUGAGCUCUACCUGAGGAUGCAGACGCUUUGACAUGCUCGCCCUCAGACUUGGAAUCUGCAGCUGAAGUCCGUAGGUGGCUGUUUUCAUUGUCUUAUCACCAUGGAUUUCCUCAAACUUAACUAGAAGAGGAGAAGGAGAAGAAGAAAGAAGAGGAGGGGGAGGAGGAGGAGGAGCAGGAGGAGGAGGAGGAGAACAUGCUUGAUGCUCUCGAGUCCAAGUAUGACUACCAAGAGAAAUCUGGAGAAAUCCAAGAUAUUGUGAAGCCCUUCCUGCAAACACUACACACACACACACACACACACACACACACACACACACACACACACACACACACAGAGCAGAUCAAGGUCAGCAGAAAGUCAAGCACAUGAGCAGCCACAUCAUUGCGAAAGGAGCAGCUACAGGAAGAGAUCUUUGGCAGCUCCAUCUGUUUGGCAAGAGUGGGACCUGACCUGAGCUUACACCAAAUUACCUCAUGGUAAAUUAUUUUUCACCAGGCACUGUAAAUGUUUUGAUGUCUCCACCCCACUGGGUGCUGUGCAGAGGACAGAUGAUACAUCAAAGGCCUGCUAAUUAAUCUCCAGGUGUGGUUGGCUCUCUUCUUUUAGGAAAGAGUUAAACCCUCAGAUCUUUUCUCGGCAUCUCUCAGGUCAGUUUCUUUUAUUUAAAGCUAGUGAAAGACUUACAUAGAGUCUUUUAAACUAGAGUCAGUUGACUUUGACACCCCUUCUCUGGUGUGGGUGUGGCUCUGACAGGUAGCCAGGAUAAAGGUUUAUUUCCUUUUAAAAUAUAAACUGCAGGGAUAGAGGCAGGCCGAUCAUUAGAGCUCACUGACCAGGCGGCCUAGCUGACUGUUGAGCUCCGGGCUCACUGAGAGGCCUUGUCUCAAAACAAGACAAAACAAAAAUGUGGGAUGACACCCUAUGUUGACAUGUAGCUUCCACAUAUAUACACAUCAGAGUGCCCAUGGAAACAUGAAAACACACACGCACACAUGAACAAAUAAACUCCAUGUUAACUUCUUUUAGGUUCAUAUACUUCCAACCAAAGCAACCUUUUGCUGAUUCCUUAACACUCUGUAAUUUAUCUUUUCCUUGUGGAUAUUUUGGUAAUGAAUUACCCACUGAAGCCUUGUACAGCAGUUGGUGUUCUAUGGGGUACUGGGUUCCAUACUGUUCCCAUUUUAAACUUCUGUCUGUUGCUGUCCUCUAUAUUUAUGUCAAAUGUGAAGAGAAGACAUUUUAAUAGCAGCAAGAUGUUAUGGUUUGAAUAUGGAACAUUUCUCUCCUCCACCAGCACACGUGUUAAAGGUUACAUCUUUAGAUGACACUAAAGAUGUUUGGAAAAGAUCUAGAGACUUUAGGAGGUGGGGUCUGGCUUAAGGAAGUAGGUCACCUGGGAAAGAGUCUUUGAUGGUAUCUUACCCUUUACUGUCUCCAUCUCACUAUUUCCUAUAAGCGUGGAGAAUGAAGAAGGUUCUUUGUUAUAUGUUCCUACUGCUUCAAUGUUCUUGCCAAGUGUGUGGGAUGAAGCAGGUAUGGACAGAGUCCUCUGAAACCUUGAGUCAAAAUAAACUUUUCUUCCUAGUUGUUUGUGUCAGAUGUUUGUCUAGUCAGUGACAAUAAAAGUACACAGACAUUAGUUGGAAUCUCUUUCACCACCAUAACGGUAACAAUCAGAGCUGAGACAGAGCAAUGGCUCAGUUGCCAAAGUGUUUGUUACAAAAGCAUGAGGAUCACAUUCCCACAGAACCCAUCUAAAAAACUGCCAGGCAAAGCAAUGGAUGCUUAUAAUGUUGGUGCUGGGGAGGCAAAAGCAACUGGACCCCUGAGACUCAUUGGUUCUCCAGUGGAGCUGAAUAUGUGAGCUCCGGGUUCAGUGAGAGAUUCAGUCUCAAAGAACAAGUGGAGGACAAUAGAGAAAGACCCCUGGAGCCACCUUCUGAUCUCUACACAAAUUUGUAUGCACAAAACCCAUUCACACUCUCAUGUGCAUAUAUGCACACACAAACCAUUAGAGAUUGUUUUUUCUAAGGGGAGUUUUAUUCCUGGAACAACUAACUCUGAAGAGUGUCUAUCUCAGCAUUGUGGACGUUUGGGACUGGAUCAUUGUAUAUUGGCAAAGGUGUCCUGUGUUCUGUAGAAUGUUUGAUAGCAGCCGGGCCUCUGACUAUGAGUACUAACUUUCAGGUGUGGCAUUCAGAAAUCUUCUUGGAUUGAUUCAGCUAAGGAUCAGGAGGCAAAGGCCAGUGAAAAGGAGGGAAGGAGUUGUUGUCCUUGUUAGUUUAAUACCUGAAUGCUUUCCAGGGAAGUGAAUCUGGAGGCAUUGGACUCUGCCAGGCAAAUUCCAAUCCAUCUACCAAUUCUCUGUUCAUUACUGAUGGGAAUUUGAAUUUACUUUAGUGUUAUACAUCAAUCAGAGUCAUUUAGUACAAGUAUUGACUUUGAUGUCAUUGGGACUAAAGGCUCCCCAGCUGUUUGUAUAGCAGACUGGGCUCUCUGUGAAGGGGACGCCAAUGGAAGGUUAUUUUCACUUUCUGCUGUUUCAGUGGGAAGAGGUUGUUGGGGAUAGAAGAUUUAAAUAUGACUCCUUAUAAGCUUUAAAUAGCUGAGUUCAUGGCUGGAGUGAGGAAACACCACACUAUAAUUUAGUCAUUUUUGUGAAUGAAUGGUCAGCUCUAUGACUGAAGCACACGUUUUGUUGAGUUCACCGUCUCCUCCAGUGCUCAGCACUGUCCAGAAUGUUCGUAGCAUCCAAAUUGGUUUGCAGCCCAUCUCCUCUACUCUGACUCUUCCAGGUUUCCUUGUGCCUCUGGUGUGGGAUGUUUGUGUUGGCAGACAAGUAGAAUCCUGUCACAACUGAGAUUUCAUGUGAAAGGCGUUCUUGUCUCUAUUUCAAAAUUUCCUUUUUGCACUCACUUCUCUCCUCACGUGAGCAUGCACACUUGCCAAAUGUGUUCUGGCUGCUGCUUUCUUUCUAUCUCUUUCUGAUUUUCCAUCCCUCCUGCCUUUGUUGCUUCUUGCCUCUCUUGCUAUAGAAACUGUCAGGUACCUGGGUAACAGCAGCAACUCUCCAGUUUGGAACUGUACUUUAGUGCACCUUGAGCGCUCUCUCUUUAACUAUCUCUGCCUGUCUCUAUCUCUCUUUUUCUCUUUGUAUCUCUGUCUCUCCCUCUGUCUCUCCCUCUCCCUCUCCCCCUUCCCCCCCACCUCUCUGGGAUGCUUAGUGAUCUUCACAGCAAAUGAAGGUGAACUCUUGCCACAUUAUUACCAUACAGCCAACUCUAUUGAACAGAUUGGGCUGAGCUUUGAACAGCUGUGGCUGGCAGUGAGUCCCCAACUCCUCUAGGAGGAAUCCCAGAACUGCCAAGUCAUCAAACUUGAAGGGGAAAGGGAACAAGAAAGGCUAUGGGGUUAGUGGUUCCUCCUACAGGUAUGUUUGCUUUUGCAAUCUACUUUUUUUUUUUUUUUUUCAAAUGUUCAUUGGUUUGUGGAUCUGAGUGAUAACUGGAUAAAUUGAUUUUAGGAACUGCUGUGUCUGCUAUAAACUGAAUCACUCAGUGGCUGAACUGUGAUUUUAUUGUUCAUUUGCAAGCACUAAAAUGUGAUCAGAUAAGUGUUUUUGUUAAAAAUGUGUGUGUGAUGCCUUCUCACCCACUGCAACUGUUUGCUACUUUAAGGAGAAUUUUGAUGUACAAAUGAAUCUAAAUUCAGCAGUGGUCUGUUAGAACUCUCAAAAGUAUAGGAUUUUUCGUGGGUACGAUAGGUGAGAAGUAGGUGGGCUAGGGGAGAUAACAUAAAGUGGUGUCCCAGCGAGCCCAAGCCACUCUUUAAAUGUGUCUUAUUGUUCAUUCCAUAGGUGCUGGAUGUGCCUGUGUGCUCAUGCAUGCACAUGUGUCCUUCAAUAACUUGCUAUAAGUUAAGUUUUUUACAUAAAAGUUGGUUUAGUAUUUUGAGUUCACUCUUGCUGCAGCUUCCCAUUAUCAUUGUAGGCUGAGGUUGGGUGAAAGCCACUCCAGCCCCAUCCUGGAUGGGCAGGACAAGUGUUUCUCAUUAUAUUCUUUCACAUUGUUUUCCAAGAUGGAUUCCCACAAGAGAAGAAUAAUGGGUUUGCCAUUGGAAAGAGUCAGAAUUGAGCUUAGCUUUGCUUGUCCAUCAUGUCUAUUUUGAGAACUUACUGUUCAGAUUCAGUUUCUUCCUGUGCAAUCGGGAUAUACUUGUUCACUUCAUGCGAUUUUUUUUUGGAGGUAUAAUAUUAAGUAAAAUAAAACAUUGAAUAAAACAUUCCUAAAACAUCUAUGUACACACAGGCAUCUCUGAGCACACAUACAGUUAGUUUUAAUUUCUGUGUUUCAUAAAUGAAUAGAUGACAAUCUUUUCUAUUUUCUUUUUGUUGUGCUUUGUAUUACAACUAGGACUUAAUGGAGCAAGGCUGGCACCUACUACUGAACCACACCUUAGUUCCACUGGUAGAUUCUAGAUAGGCUUUAUCUUGGAACCAUACCCCCAGCACUCUAUAGUUGAGCCACUCUCCCAAA